UACGGAGGGUGCAAGCGUUACUCGGAAUCACUGGGCGUAAAGGAUGCGUAGGCUGGAUGCCAAGUCGAGAGUGAAAUCCAACGGCUUAACCGUUGAACUGCUUUCGAAACUGGUAACCUAGAGUAAGGGAGAGGCAGAUGGAAUUGGUGGUGUAGGGGUAAAAUCCGUAGAUAUCACCAGGAAUACCGAUUGCGAAGGCGAUCUGCUGGAACUUAACUGACGCUGAGGCAUGAAAGCGUGGGGAGCAAACAGG
rnacentral:rRNA from 1 species